UUAAGCGACUAAGCGUACACGGUGGAUGCCCUGGCAGUCAGAGGCGAUGAAGGACGUGCUAAUCUGCGAUAAGCGUCGGUAAGGUGAUAUGAACCGUUAUAACCGGCGAUUUCCGAAUGGGGAAACCCAGUGUGUUUCGACACACUAUCAUUAACUGAAUCCAUAGGUUAAUGAGGCGAACCGGGGGAACUGAAACAUCUAAGUACCCCGAGGAAAAGAAAUCAACCGAGAUUCCCCCAGUAGCGGCGAGCGAACGGGGAGCAGCCCAGAGCCUGAAUCAGUGUGUGUGUUAGUGGAAGCGUCUGGAAAGGCGCGCGAUACAGGGUGACAGCCCCGUACACAAAAAUGCACAUGCUGUGAGCUCGAUGAGUAGGGCGGGACACGUGGUAUCCUGUCUGAAUAUGGGGGGACCAUCCUCCAAGGCUAAAUACUCCUGACUGACCGAUAGUGAACCAGUACCGUGAGGGAAAGGCGAAAAGAACCCCGGCGAGGGGAGUGAAAAAGAACCUGAAACCGUGUACGUACAAGCAGUGGGAGCACGCUUAGGCGUGUGACUGCGUACCUUUUGUAUAAUGGGUCAGCGACUUAUAUUCUGUAGCAAGGUUAACCGAAUAGGGGAGCCGAAGGGAAACCGAGUCUUAACUGGGCGUUAAGUUGCAGGGUAUAGACCCGAAACCCGGUGAUCUAGCCAUGGGCAGGUUGAAGGUUGGGUAACACUAACUGGAGGACCGAACCGACUAAUGUUGAAAAAUUAGCGGAUGACUUGUGGCUGGGGGUGAAAGGCCAAUCAAACCGGGAGAUAGCUGGUUCUCCCCGAAAGCUAUUUAGGUAGCGCCUCGUGAAUUCAUCUCCGGGGGUAGAGCACUGUUUCGGCAAGGGGGUCAUCCCGACUUACCAACCCGAUGCAAACUGCGAAUACCGGAGAAUGUUAUCACGGGAGACACACGGCGGGUGCUAACGUCCGUCGUGAAGAGGGAAACAACCCAGACCGCCAGCUAAGGUCCCAAAGUCAUGGUUAAGUGGGAAACGAUGUGGGAAGGCCCAGACAGCCAGGAUGUUGGCUUAGAAGCAGCCAUCAUUUAAAGAAAGCGUAAUAGCUCACUGGUCGAGUCGGCCUGCGCGGAAGAUGUAACGGGGCUAAACCAUGCACCGAAGCUGCGGCAGCGACACUAUGUGUUGUUGGGUAGGGGAGCGUUCUGUAAGCCUGUGAAGGUGUACUGUGAGGUAUGCUGGAGGUAUCAGAAGUGCGAAUGCUGACAUAAGUAACGAUAAAGCGGGUGAAAAGCCCGCUCGCCGGAAGACCAAGGGUUCCUGUCCAACGUUAAUCGGGGCAGGGUGAGUCGACCCCUAAGGCGAGGCCGAAAGGCGUAGUCGAUGGGAAACAGGUUAAUAUUCCUGUACUUGGUGUUACUGCGAAGGGGGGACGGAGAAGGCUAUGUUGGCCGGGCGACGGUUGUCCCGGUUUAAGCGUGUAGGCUGGUUUUCCAGGCAAAUCCGGAAAAUCAAGGCUGAGGCGUGAUGACGAGGCACUACGGUGCUGAAGCAACAAAUGCCCUGCUUCCAGGAAAAGCCUCUAAGCAUCAGGUAACAUCAAAUCGUACCCCAAACCGACACAGGUGGUCAGGUAGAGAAUACCAAGGCGCUUGAGAGAACUCGGGUGAAGGAACUAGGCAAAAUGGUGCCGUAACUUCGGGAGAAGGCACGCUGAUAUGUAGGUGAAGUGAUUUACCCAUGGAGCUGAAAUCAGUCGAAGAUACCAGCUGGCUGCAACUGUUUAUUAAAAACACAGCACUGUGCAAACACGAAAGUGGACGUAUACGGUGUGACGCCUGCCCGGUGCCGGAAGGUUAAUUGAUGGGGUUAGCGGUAACGCGAAGCUCUUGAUCGAAGCCCCGGUAAACGGCGGCCGUAACUAUAACGGUCCUAAGGUAGCGAAAUUCCUUGUCGGGUAAGUUCCGACCUGCACGAAUGGCGUAAUGAUGGCCAGGCUGUCUCCACCCGAGACUCAGUGAAAUUGAACUCGCUGUGAAGAUGCAGUGUACCCGCGGCAAGACGGAAAGACCCCGUGAACCUUUACUAUAGCUUGACACUGAACAUUGAGCCUUGAUGUGUAGGAUAGGUGGGAGGCUUUGAAGUGUGGACGCCAGUCUGCAUGGAGCCGACCUUGAAAUACCACCCUUUAAUGUUUGAUGUUCUAACGUUGACCCGUAAUCCGGGUUGCGGACAGUGUCUGGUGGGUAGUUUGACUGGGGCGGUCUCCUCCUAAAGAGUAACGGAGGAGCACGAAGGUUGGCUAAUCCUGGUCGGACAUCAGGAGGUUAGUGCAAUGGCAUAAGCCAGCUUGACUGCGAGCGUGACGGCGCGAGCAGGUGCGAAAGCAGGUCAUAGUGAUCCGGUGGUUCUGAAUGGAAGGGCCAUCGCUCAACGGAUAAAAGGUACUCCGGGGAUAACAGGCUGAUACCGCCCAAGAGUUCAUAUCGACGGCGGUGUUUGGCACCUCGAUGUCGGCUCAUCACAUCCUGGGGCUGAAGUAGGUCCCAAGGGUAUGGCUGUUCGCCAUUUAAAGUGGUACGCGAGCUGGGUUUAGAACGUCGUGAGACAGUUCGGUCCCUAUCUGCCGUGGGCGCUGGAGAAUUGAGGGGGGCUGCUCCUAGUACGAGAGGACCGGAGUGGACGCAUCACUGGUGUUCGGGUUGUCAUGCCAAUGGCACUGCCCGGUAGCUAAAUGCGGAAGAGAUAAGUGCUGAAAGCAUCUAAGCACGAAACUUGCCCCGAGAUGAGUUCUCCCUGACUCCUUGAGAGUCCUGAAGGAACGUUGAAGACGACGACGUUGAUAGGCCGGGUGUGUAAGCGCAGCGAUGCGUUGAGCUAACCGGUACUAAUGAACCGUGAGGCUUAACCUU
rnacentral:rRNA from 1 species